rnacentral:rRNA from 1 species
UGGGGAAUAUUGGACAAUGGGCGAAAGCCUGAUCCAGCCAUGCCGCGUGAGUGACGAAGGCCUUAGGGUUGUAAAACUCUUUCGUCGGGGACGAUAAUGACGGUACCCGAAGAAGAAGCUCCGGCUAACUUCGUGCCAGCAGCCGCGGUAAUACGAAGGGAGCUAGCGUUGUUCGGAAUCACUGGGCGUAAAGCGCACGUAGGCGGAUAGUUAAGUCAGGGGUGAAAUCCUGGGGCUCAACCCCAGAACUGCCUUUGAUACUGGCUGUCUCGAGGUCGAGAGAGGUUGGUGGAAUUCCUAGUGUAGAGGUGAAAUUCGUAGAUAUUAGGAAGAACACCGGUGGCGAAGGCGGCUCACUGGAUCGGUACUGACGCUGAGGUGCGAAAGCGUGGGGAGCAAACAGGAUUAGAUACCCCCGUAGUCCCUGAGCGGGCUGGCAAGGCGCAU